AGCAGCCGCGGUAAUUCCAGCUCCAAUAGCGUAUAUUAAAGUUGCUGCAGUUAAAAAGCUCGUAGUUGAAUUUCGGGAUCAUCAUGUCGGUCGUGCCUCGGUACGUACUGGCAUUGUUGGUUUCUACCUUCUGACGAACCAUGAUGUCAUUAAUUUGGUGUCUUGGGGAAUCAGGACUGUUACUUUGAAAAAAUUAGAGUGUUUAAAGCAGGCUCGCGCUUGAAUACAUUAGCAUGGAAUAAUGAAAUAGGACGUUUGAUUCUAUUUUGUUGGUUUCUAGGAUCGACGUAAUGAUUAAUAGGGAUAGUUGGGGGCAUUAGUAUUCAAUUGUCAGAGUGAAAUUCUUGGAUUUAUUGAAGACUAACUACUGCGAAAGCAUUUGCCAAGGAUGUUUUCAUUAAUCAAGAACGAAAGUUAGGGGAUCGGAGACGAUCAGAUACCGUCGUAGUCUUAACCAUAAACUAUGCCGACUAGGGAUCGGAUGAUGUUAAUUUUUAAUGUACUCAUUC
rnacentral:rRNA from 1 species